rnacentral:rRNA from 2 species
UGAGGAAUAUUGGUCAAUGGUCGAGAGACUGAACCAGCCAUGCCGCGUGAAGGAUACGGCCCUAUGGGUCUUAAACUUCUUUUGUAAGGGAGCAAUAAGUUCUACGUGUAGGACGAUGAGAGUACCUUACGAAUAAGCAUCGGCUAACUCCGUGCCAGCAGCCGCGGUAAUACGGGGGAUGCAAGCGUUAUCCGGAUUUAUUGGGUUUAAAGGGUGCGUAGGCGGUCUAUUAAGUCAGCGGUGAAAUUUAGGGGCUCAACCUCUACCGUGCCGUUGAUACUGGUAGGCUGGAAUGCGGAUGCCGUGGGAGGAAUGUGUGGUGUAGCGGUGAAAUGCAUAGAUAUCACACAGAACACCGAUUGCGAAGGCAUCUCACGAAUCCGCUAUUGACGCUGAUGCACGAAAGCGUGGGGAUCAAACAGG